CUGGCAACGACUAUGCUGGAGAAUGGGA
rnacentral:sRNA from 1 species